CGCGGCCUAUCAGCUUGUUGGUGAGGUAACGGCUCACCAAGGCAUCGACGGGUAGCUGGUCUGAGAGGACGAUCAGCCACACUGGGACUGAGACACGGCCCAGACUCCUACGGGAGGCAGCAGUAGGGAAUCUUGCGCAAUGGGCGAAAGCCUGACGCAGCAACGCCGCGUGGGGGAUGAAUGCCUUCGGGUUGUAAACCCCUUUCAGCAGGGACGAAAAUGACGGUACCUGCAGAAGAAGCUCCGGCCAACUACGUGCCAGCAGCCGCGGUAAUACGUAGGGAGCGAGCGUUGUCCGGAAUUAUUGGGCGUAAAGAGCUCGUAGGCGGUUCAGUAAGUCGGGUGUGAAAACUCAAGGCUCAACCUUGAGACGCCACUCGAUACUGCUGUGACUUGAGUCCGGUAGAGGAGUGUGGAAUUCCUGGUGUAGCGGUGAAAUGCGCAGAUAUCAGGAGGAACACCAGCGGCGAAGGCGGCACUCUGGGCCGGUACUGACGCUGAGGAGCGAAAGCAUGGGGAGCAAACAGGAUUAGAUACCCUGGUAGUCCAUGCCGUAAACGUUGGGCACUAGGUACGGGAUCAUAUCAACGGAUUCCGUGCCGUAGCUAACGCAUUAAGUGCCCCGCCUGGGGAGUACGG
rnacentral:rRNA from 1 species